rnacentral:lncRNA from 1 species
GAGCUCUCGAUUUCAGUCAUUAUUAGGGACUGCUUUAAGUUUUUGACUUCUUCUUCUAGUUUCAUCUUUCUUAGCAGCAUUUUUCAGUACAUCUGGUGGAACCACCAACUUUCGCCCUCCGACUCUCGAAGCCUCUUCCUCAGGACCUCGGACUCCGUCUCGACAUCUUUGACCAUCUGCUGCUCGUGGGCCAGCUGAAUCUUCAGCCGCUGUAGUUCGGCCUUCUCCUACCCAAGGGCCA